AUUGAACGCUGGCGGCAGGCCUAACACAUGCAAGUCGAACGGUAACAGGAAGAAGCUUGCUUCUUUGCUGACGAGUGGCGGACGGGUGAGUAAUGUCUGGGAAACUGCCUGAUGGAGGGGGAUAACUACUGGAAACGGUAGCUAAUACCGCAUAACGUCGCAAGACCAAAAAGGGGGACCUUCGGGCCUCUUGCCAUCGGAUGUGCCCAGAUGGGAUUAGCUAGUAGGUGGGGUAACGGCUCACCUAGGCGACGAUCCCUAGCUGGUCUGAGGAUGACCAGCCACACUGGAACUGAGACACGGUCCAGACUCCUACGGGAGGCAGCAGUGGGGAAUAUUGCACAAUGGGCGCAAGCCUGAUGCAGCCAUGCCGCGUGUAUGAAGAAGGCCUUCGGGUUGUAAAGUACUUUCAGCGGGGAGGAAGGGAGUAAAGUUAAUACCUUGGCUCAUUGACGUUACCCGCAGAAGAAGCACCGGCUAACUCCGUG
rnacentral:rRNA from 1 species